CUUUAGACGCUGACUCCUGCUGUCCACCAGAUCCUCGUGGUGCAAUGACUGGUGUAGACUGGCUUGUUGAAGUCACUCUCUGGAUCUGAGCAACGUUGGCUGAGCCGUGAUGAAGUACUCCUAUCCAUCCACUAUGCUUCACAGUGGGAAUCUCUCCCUGUUCAUCACCACUGCCCUAGCAGCCGCAGGUGCCUCAUUUCCAUCGUCAGUGGGUCUUAGUCAUCAAGACUGAUGUACCGCACUAGCGCCAGCAUUGAACCUGUCCACAUAGGAGUCUGCUUCCAGGAAAAAGGAGCUCAUGAAAUGAAAAUUGGGCUGUUAAAAACUAUUGGAACAUAGGAAUGGGAACACUCACUUCCUCAUGCCCAGUGACCUGGAGUUGACAUCAGGACAUCUCAGCAUAAUCAACAAACUUUUAUUCAUUCAUUCAUCAUGUAUUUACUGGGUUUCUACUAUGAGUUGG
rnacentral:lncRNA from 1 species